rnacentral:sRNA from 1 species
UGGCCGGGCCCGGGCCCCCAGCGGGGAGAAAGCCGGCCAGUUCCUGGGUCGCAGGGGCCUCCAGCGUCCGAGGUCGGUGCUUCGGGCGACCUUGGGUUGCUGCUGGAACCCUGACGUGCAGCAGGCCCAGGCCACGGUUCGCGGAGAGCGUCGGGCGCUGGUCCUCAAGGUCUCCCGGCUCUGCCCUUGCAGAGCUCAGUGGGGGAGACGUGCGUGCGCUUCCCUCGGGCAGGGCCGCUGCCCUCCUCCGCCCUUCACCCCAGACACCCUGGGGCAGUGGGGCCUCCUCCCCUCCGGUUGCUUCUGCUUUUCCUAACCCAGUGCCCUUCCGAGACCACAGGAGCCUCAGUCCGGCCACUGUGGCCUCCCCGUGACCAUGACCCAGAGGUUGGACAGCCCUGCAGGGCUGGACGUUUGACUUUGGCUCAGUUCCUCCACCGUUCCCUUCAUUUAUCCUGUGCCUCUCCCAGGCCUGUGGAUUUUGCUGUGGCCCCAAGCCGGCCCGAAGGCUCCUGGAGGUGGUAGGGUCAUGGCCUGAGGCGGUGCUGGGGAGGAGAGCUCGGGCCAGGAGUUCAGGGCAGCUACAGGUGGGGGGGUGCCGAGCCACCCUCAGCCUGCCCCCUGCCUACCUCUCAGAAAGGUGUGGAGGUUCCAGCGGGGCGGGGGCUCUCUGGGGCUCCAUCCUAGUGAGUGCCCCUCUCAGCUGAGGAGGAACCGAGAGCGGCGCUGGGGCACCUGAGCCCAGGAAGGCAACAGGCCGGCCGGGACCGCGAGUGCCUGGCGGAGCAGGCGCAGCCCAGGACUCCCGGCUCCCACCUCCGGCUGUAGUCCAGGGCCAAGGCUUGUGUUCAAUCGUGUGAAUGGCCGGCGGGCCCCCUCCACGUCCCCAUCCUUCGAGGGGACCCAGGAGACCUACACAGUGGCCCACGAGGAGAAUGUCCGCUUUGUGUCCGAAGCCUGGCAGCAGGUGCAACAGCAGCUGGAUGGUGGCCCAGCCGGUGAGGGCGGGCCAAGGCCUGUGCAGUACGUGGAGAGGACCCCCAAUCCCCGGCUGCAGAACUUUGUGCCCAUUGACCUAGACGAGUGGUGGGCGCAGCAGUUCCUGGCGAGAAUCACCAGCUGUUCCUAGUGGCUGCUGGGAGGGGGCGCUGCUACACGGCUGACCUGUCGCCAGGAGAGAAGCAUGGCGCCCUGCCCACCCACUGCGCCUGGCUGGGUGCCGGCCACACCUGAAGUGCCAGCAUUUGGACUUUUGCACCUGUUUUUCCCUUGGCCCGGCUGUCCGAACCAAGCUGCCAUGGCCAAGGGCCGAACCCGUCUGACCUCAGCCCUGCUCACUUUGCCCAGGGACCAGCGACCAGCCCCUGGGGCUGGCA